rnacentral:rRNA from 1 species
CAGUGCCAGCCGCCGCGGUAAUACAGAGAGUGCGAGCGUUAAUCGGAAUCACUGGGCGUAAAGCGCGCGUAGGUGGAUAUUUAAGUCGGAUGUGAAAGCCCUAGGCUUAACCUAGGAAUCGCACCCGAUACUGGGUAUCUCGAGUAUGGUAGAGGGAAGUGGAAUUUCCGGUGUAGCGGUGAAAUGCGUAGAUAUCGGAAAGAACACCAGUGGCGAAGGCGGCUUCCUGGACCAAUACUGACACUGAGGUGCGAAAGCGUGGGGAGCAAACAGGAUUAGAAACCCCGGUAGUCCCA